rnacentral:lncRNA from 9 species
CGGGGAUGAAGGACAAAGCCCUGCUUUUGUGUUCCCGCUUCCUCUUCUCCAGCCCUCCUGUCCUGCUAUUUUGUUCUCGCAUAGCCUGCUUCUUUUACGCUCAGGAAAGAACGUCUAUGCAGGGCUUAACCCAACAAAGCCUGGCACCGGCAGGGCUGGCACAGAAUCAAGGGGAGUCUGUGAAAGACUGUGGCUUAAACGUUCAGCGCUUCCCUCGCUGACUGCACUUGGAUUAGGCAGAGCAGGACGGCCAGGCUGACCGCGCUCUCGUCCAGCCCCAGGCAGCUUCCUUAUUGUGUAAGCAGAUUUAUGCACAUCCUAUCCCCAGGCUGGCUUCACUGCGGAACCAAAAGAUAAGGGGCCUCAGCCCGCAUACCCUUUAUUUUUAUUCGUAGGCACAUUUUCUAGGAUUAUUAGUCUAAGUUGUAAUGAACACAAUAACAUUUAUGUAUCUGGAAUGAGCCUUUUGCCUCAGAAAGACAUUGGCCAACAUGUUAAUACUAAAAAAAUGCCAACCGGCAAUUAAAUUGGUUUUUUGUUUUUUUGUUUUUUGUCUUUUUGUCUUUUUGUUGUUGCUGUUGUUGCUAUUUCUUGGGCCGCUCCCGCGGCAUAUGGAGGUUCCCAGGCUAGGGGAUCUCUUUAGAGCUGUAGCUACCAGCCUACACCACAGCCACAGCAACACCAGAUCUGAUCCGCGUCUGUGACCUACACCACAGCUCACGGCAACGCCGGAUCCUUAACCCAUUGAGCGAGGCCAGGGAUCGAACCUCUGUCCUCAUGGAUGCUAGUCAGAUUUAUUUCCACUGAGCCAGGACGGGAGCUCCUGCCUUGGCCUUCGGAGAGGCCUGCUCUGUUUGCUUGGCGUUCAGGAUGAUGUCACACUUUCUCGGGGCAGCUGCCACGAUGCCAGCGAAUAGUUUACCUGCCAAUUGGUUAGCCUUCAAACGGCGCCAGUGAGCACCCUGCUUGCUUCAGCGGCUUUGGGGAAAGAUCUCAGUUGCCUGCAUCUGGGUCUGCUUUCCCGUGCUGGGGUUUAUUCGUUUUGUGGUUUUUUUUGAGGAACCUGUUGACACACCCUACUUAGAUACCCAGAGGCGAACGAGUCAUGCCUGGCCAACAGCGCCUCGGCAUGGACGUGCGUGUUGCCAGUUACGUGCCAUGCAGACGACCCGGGCUCCUCCGACAGCCUGUGGAAACAGGACACCUUCAAGGCUUGGCACGUGGACUGAAAUGAUUUCCAACCAAGUUCCCCCAGUCUGAAGGGUGAAGUUGAUUUGGGGGUCCUUUUGUCGUGAGAACGACUUCUGGACCAUUCUCCAGGUGAGCAUCUUCCCCACGGCAGCCCCAGGGCCUCGAAGUUUGCUCCGUGAACCUGAAUGUCCACCUCACCCGGUGCCAGCAGCGUGGGCACGAUGGGUCGGUGCCUCUGCAGCCGGGCAGCCCCCCUCCCCAGCGAAAUCUCCCCAGGGAGCCCCGGGAAGGUCAGUUAAGCCAAAGGGGCAACAAAUGACAAGCCCACAGGCGAGGACAGGGUUGUCGGCCAAACCCAUUCCUGCAAAAGUAGAAAUUAACCCACAGGAGGCCACCAGAGAAGAGAAGUCUUCAGACAAAAAAGCCUCUGAAAACAAAAUACAUAAGGGAAGCGGAAAGGACAAAGCAGGCAAGAAACUGAAAAAGAUUCAUGCAUUAAAAAAAACAGAAAUGGGAGUUCCUACUGCGGGGGAGUGGGUUAGGAACCUGAUGUGGCUGCUUGGGUUGCUGCGAAGGCCAGGAGUCCAUCCUUGCAGUGGGUUUUGCCAUAGGUUGCAGCCGUGGCUCAGAUUCAGUCCCUGGUCCAGGAACUUCCAUACACUGAGCAUGCAGCCACAAGAUACAAUCGCAGCAACAGAGAAACUAGGAAUGACGAGAGUCUAGCAGCUGAGGAAGGAGAGACCAAGUCACACCUGAUGAACAACUAGACUGUCUUAUCGAAUCUCCUUUCUGUAAAUCUGGAGAAACAGUUCACUACCGGUUUUGGAAAUGCAAGUGUUCAGAGCCCAAGAAACUUAAAAAAAAUUUUUUUAAGAUAGAAUCUCGUCUCAUCCUUUUUUUCCUUUUUUUUUGGCCGCCCUGAGGCACAUGGAGUUUCUGGGCCAGGGAUCAGAUCCGAGCUGCUGCAGCUGCGACCUGCGCCACAGCUUAGGCAACGCCAGAUCCUUUAACCCACUGUGCUCGGGCGGGGAUCGAACCUGCCUCCUGGCUCUGCGGAGACACUGCCGAUCCUGUUGUGCCACAGGGAACUCCUCGCCUCAUCCUUUUUAUUUUUUUUUUUAAAGUAUGUGUAUAAGUGGAAGUGCUUAUUUUUUUUAAUAAAGAAGUAAAA